rnacentral:rRNA from 1 species
CAGGUUUACCUGUGUGACUGCGUACCUUUUGUAUAAUGGGUCAGCGACUUAUAUUCUGUAGCAAGGUUAACCGUAUAGGGGAGCCGGAGGGAAACCGAGUCUUAACCGGGCGUUAAGUUGCAGGGUAUAGACCCGAAACCCGGUGAUCUAGCCAUGGGCAGGUUGAAGGUUGGGUAACACUAACUGGAGGACCGAACCGACUAAUGUUGAAAAAUUAGCGGAUGACCUGUGGCUGGGGGUGAAAGGCCAAUCAAACCGGGAGAUAGCUGGUUCUCCCCGAAAGCUAUUUAGGUAGCGCCUCGUGAAUUCAUCUCCGGGGGUAGAGCACUGUUUCGGCUAGGGGGCCAUCCCGGCUUACCAACCCGAUGCAAACUGCGAAUACCGGAGAAUGUUAUCACGGGAGACACACGGCGGGUGCUAACGUCCGUCGUGAAGAGGGAAACAACCCAGACCGCCAGCUAAGGUCCCAAAGUCAUGGUUAAGUGGGAAACGAUGUGGGAAGGCCCAGACAGCCAGGAUGUUGGCUUAGAAGCAGCCAUCAUUUAAAGAAAGCGUAAUAGCUCACUGGUCGAGUCGGCCUGCGCGGAAGAUGUAACGGGGCUAAACCAUGCACCGAAGCUGCGGCAGCGACACUCAGGUGUUGUUGGGUAGGGGAGCGUUCUGUAAGCCUGCGAAGGUGGCCUGUGAGGGUUGCUGGAGGUAUCAGAAGUGCGAAUGCUG